GGGGGUAUAGCUCAGGUGGCAGAGUGCAUGCUUAGCAUGCAUGAGGUCCUGAGUUCAAUCCCCAGUACCUCCU
rnacentral:tRNA from 1 species